CAGCUUCAGUUGGCCAGUGAACAGCUGUAUACACCAGCAUCUACUGUGCGCCAGACUCAGAAGUCCGAGAUGGGGAUUUUAGGGUGAAUCUAACUUCUGAAUCAUUGAGAAUGAAAUCUGAUAGAGGCGGUAUAAGAGGAAUGAGGAUGAGACACAUCGGACAAGUGGCUUUUCAGAUGGAGUGAAACUUUAAUCCUGCGGUAUAGGAGCCAAUCAUGCAAGAGAGAGACAGACAAACAGACAGACCCCGACCCCCUUGGAAGCUGAAUGGCCUAUGCAAAGGCACUGAAAUCAAAGCAAACUGGGCAUGUGUGUGCAUGGGCUCUGGUAGAGGACUCAGGUCCAGAUAGUAAAGGGCUUCAGAAUGUGUGUGAAUUUUGUUGGAUUUUGUUCUCAGUGGGAUGGAAAACCAUUGGAAUUGUAAGCAGGCAAUUAACAUCACAAUGAGC
rnacentral:lncRNA from 1 species